CCAAUAGCGUAUAUUAAAGUUGUUGCAGUUAAAAAGCUCGUAGUUGAAUUUCGGGAUCAAUUUAUCGGUCGUGCCAAUGGUAUGAACUGGUACAAUUGGUUUCUCCCUUCUGACGAAGCAUGAUGUCAUUAAUUUGGUGUCGUGGGGAAUCAGGACUGUUACUUUGAAAAAAUUAGAGUGUUUAAAGCAAGCAUUAGCUUGAAUACAUUAGCAUGGAAUAAUGAAAUAGGACGUUUGAUCCUAUUUCGUUGGUUUCUAGGAUCGACGUAAUGAUUAAUAGGGAUAGUUGGGGGCAUUAGUAUUCAAUUGUCAGAGGUGAAAUUCUUGGAUUUAUUGAAGACUAACUACUGCGAAAGCAUUUGCCAAGGAUGUUUUCAUUAAUCAAGAACGAAAGUUAGGGGAUCGAAGACGAUCAGAUACCGUCGUAGUCUUAACCAUAAACUAUGCCGACUAGGGAUCGGAUGAUGUUAAUUUUUUAAUGACUCAUUCGGCGCCUUACG
rnacentral:rRNA from 1 species